rnacentral:lncRNA from 1 species
CGAGGAGCUUGCAUCUCAUACAGUCAACGUAAAGCAAGGAAAAAACAGCAGGUCACAGCCCGUGAAAGCAGGAGGGAUUUGAUCCCUAACCAGCAGGGCUUCCCUGUGGAACCUUUGAAUAUUUCCUUUUACCUGUCCGCAGACAGAAGAACUGAAAUUCGGGCUGCUUAAAGAUCAGGUGAGAAGGCAAAGCCUAAUUUCCAUUCUUUCA